AUUGAACGCUGGCGGCAGGCUUAACACAUGCAAGUCGAACGAGUGGCGGACGGGAUAGCAAUGCUUGGGAAUCUAGCUUAUGGAGGGGGAUAGCUACGGGAAACUGUAGCUAAUACCGCGUACCAUAGGAUGAGCCCAAGUGGGAUUAGGUAGUUGGUGAGGUAAAGGCUGACCAAGCCGACGAUCUCUAGCUGGUCUGAGAGGAUGACCAGCCACACUGGGACUGAGACACGGCCCAGACUCCUACGGGAGGCAGCAGUGGGGAAUAUUGCGCAAUGGGGGAAAGCUGACGCAGCCAUGCCGCGUGUAUGAAGAAGGUCUUCGGGUUGUAAAGUACUUUAAGUAGGGAGGCGUUACCUACAGAAGAAGCACCGGCUAACUCCGUGCCAGCAGCCGCGGUAAUUC
rnacentral:rRNA from 1 species